CUCCGUAAGUUCGCGAGAAGGAGGCCCGGUUCCUAGGCAACUAGGGGCUGGGGGCACAAACCAGGGGGUGGCGACUGUUUACUAAAAACACAGGGCUCUGCGAAGUCGCAAGACGACGUAUAGGGUCUGACGCCUGCCCGGUGCCUGAAGGUUAAAAGGAGGGGUGAGAGCUCCGAAUUGAAGCCCAGGUAAACGGCGGCCGUAACUAUAACGGUCCUAAGGUAGCGAAAUUCCUUGUCGGGU
rnacentral:rRNA from 1 species